rnacentral:rRNA from 1 species
UCAAAUUAAAUUGAUCAGAAUUUAUUUAAUUAUUUUAUUUUUUGUUAUUUAAUUUAUUAAAAAUAUUUAUAUAGUGUUCUUUUUUAGUAUAGUUAUAGAAAAAAUAAUUUUAUUGAUAGUGUAUUAGUAAUGUGAAAGAAUAUUGAAAUAUAUUGAAAAAUAUUUGUUUUUAAAGAAGAUUUAAUUUAUUGUACCUUGUGUAUCAGGGUUGAUUAAAUAAAUUUUAUUUAUUAUAAAUUUCCCGAUUUUAAAAGAGUUAAUAAAAUAUAUAAGUUUAUGUGGUAUAAUAAUUUAUAAUAUUUUAUUAGAGAUGAAAAGUUAUUCGUUUUUAAAGGUAUCUGGUUUUUUCAGAAAUAAAUUUAAUUUAUAAUUUUAAAAUAAUUAGUUUAAUUAUAUUAAUUUAAUUAUUUUUAAAAUUUAAUAUUUUAUGGGAUAAGCUAUAAAAUAAAUUUUUAUAAAUAUGAAUAAUGUAAAUAAAAAUUUGAUUAAUAAUAUUAAUCUUUAAAAAGUUUGUUAUAAUUUAUUAUUUAUUAUAAUUAUUUUUUGUAUUUUAAAUUUUUAUGAAAUUAUUAUUAUUAAUUAUUUUUAUUAAGUAAUAAUGAUUAAAUUAGUAUAUUAUUUUGUUAAAUUAAUUUUUUUGUUAGGUUAAUAUAAAGAAUUCGGCAAAUUUAAUGCUCGCCUGUUUAACAAAAACAUGUCUUUUUGUUUUUAUAAAAAGUCUGACCUGCCCACUGAAAUUUUAAAGGCCGCAGUAUUUUAACUGUGCAAAGGUAGCAUAAUCAUUAGUCUUUUAAUUGGAGGCUUGUAUGAAUGGUUGGACGAAGGUAUUAACUGUUUUAUAUUAAAUAUAUUAGAAUUUUAUUUUUCAGUAAAAAAGCUGAAAUGUUAUGGAGGGACGAGAAGACCCUAUAAAUCUUUAUAUUUAAAUUAUUAUAGUUAUUUAGAAUUUUUAAAUUAUAAUAGUGAUAAUAUUUUAUUGGGGUGAUAUUUAAAUUUGAUUAACUUUAAAUUUUUUAUUACAUUUAUGUAUGAAUUUGUGAUCCAUUAUUAUUGAUUAAAAAAAUAAGUUACUUUAGGGAUAACAGCGUAAUUUUUUUAGAGAGUUCUAAUCGAUAAAAAAGAUUGCGACCUCGAUGUUGGAUUAAGAGAUAUAGUUAGGUGUAGAAGCUUAAUUGUUAAGUCUGUUCGACUUUU